GAUGAAGAACGUAGCGAAAUGCGAUAAGUAGUGUGAAUUGCAGAAUUCAGUGAAUCAUCGAAUCUUUGAACGCACAUUGCGCCCGCCAGUAUUCUGGCGGGCAUGCCUGUUCGAGCGUCAUUUCAACCAUCAAGCCCCCGGCUUGUGUUGGGGACCUGCGGCUGCCGCAGGCCCUGAAAAGCAGUGGCAGGCUCGCUGUCACACCGAGCGUAGUAGCAUACAUCUCGCUCUGGGCGUGCUGCGGGUUCCGGCCGUUAAACCACCUUCAUAACCCAAGGUUGACCUCGGAUCAGGUAGGAAGACCCGCUGAACUUAAGCAUAUCAAUAAGCGGAGGA
rnacentral:misc_RNA from 1 species